rnacentral:rRNA from 1 species
UACAGAGGGUGCGAGCGUUGUUCGGAAUUACUGGGCGUAAAGCGCGCGCAGGCGGCUUUUUAAGUCUGACGGUGAAAUGCCGGGGCUCAACCCCGUGCCCGCCGCGGAUACUGGGAAGCUGGAGACGAGUAGAGGCAAGCGGAAUUCCGGGUGUAGCGGUGGAAUGCGUAGAGAUCCGGAAGAACACCGGAGGCGAAGGCGGCUUGCUGGGCUCGGUCUGACGCUGAGGCGCGAAAGCGUGGGGAGCGAACAGG